CACAGAGCCGGCAGACGUGAGAUACGUCCGGUGUUGUGCCUGUUCGGCGCGGAGAGUGGUGUCGGGUUUCCGAAGCAGUGUGGUUUGACGGGAGCUGAGCUGUUCUGCGGAGUCUGGGUGCGCAGUGUGUUUUCCUGCGGCCAUCACUCGCCGAGCCUGGGCUGCGUACUUCCUCCUGCUGGCGCCAACAUACAGUUGCCCUGCUCUCCG